CGAAGAAGCUUUCAUCGUCUUUCAUCGGUUUCUCAAAAGGUGACUGCUGACCAACUGUUUAUACUGUGAUGCAGACAGGGGCAAUAUAAAGUGAUGAGGUGAAUUCCAGAUGGAGGAAGAUGUAGACAGAGAAACAUCUUUUACCACUGAUCAGUGAUGUUAAACAUCAGGCUGCUGCUCAUUAACAACAUGUACGGCUACAUCAGCUCAUCCCAAAGAUUACCAACCCGCCUUUGUCAAGUUCUAAGACAGAUGCUCACAGUCUUAAGACUGAUGACCGGCACAGCAACAAGGAUCAAGUAUUCUUUGAACUCUCGCGGAGGAGUCUUCGCCUUCAUCAGGAUUUCCUGCAUCAUCCUAGCGAUGAGCAAUCACCAGUCAAAACAAGUUCAAACUGCCUGGAAUGUGUAAAGGUCUCCAUCUACGAGGGCAGCAGCAAUUCUACUUGUUGUUUCAUGGAACAUGUAUAGGAGUGGGUGCCGGCACAAAAAAUUCAGGUACAUGUACAGUUCAGGUCCGGACCUG